AUGCAGAACAAGGAAAAACAUUUCAAAGGGCCAUGUUUGAGUUUGAAAUUUGAAUCUUUGAUUCAAAUUGGUUCAAACCCUUCUGGUCUUAGUUGCAUUAGCCCAACACACUCAUAUUGCUAUGUUUCAUGCAUGCAUCAUAUUGUUGCACAUUGUUUGGUGAUGGUUGUGUAUCAGUGUUUUUUACGGCAGGAUCUGCCUCCGAGGAGUACCGUGAUUACCCUAACGAAGAACCGUAUCAGUGCAUCGAACCAUCAGGCAAGCAACCAACCAUUUGAUCAUAUCGAUACAAUCCCAUGUUCUCGCUCCUGCUCUCUUUUACUGCAUUAA
rnacentral:rRNA from 1 species